ACAGACGUUCUGACGCACAGAACUGCUUUAACCAUCUGCUCGCACUCUGAUAAGCAUUGACACGAAAGUUAAUUUCGCAUCGUUUCCAACUUACAGCGUAUGAAGCGCUCGAUUGCAUCUGAUGCGUCCGGGAAACUGAGCAACAGCAAUUUUGAAAACUCGAGAGACAUGAUUUGGCGAAAACGUUUGUUUUUGUCACGUCACGUGAGACAGAUGGCUGGUGCCACAGGAACAUUUCUGUGAGCCUCACGGUUAGGAAGGGAAGAACCUGGUCAAAUCCAAUGGGGUCAGUUUCACAGAUUUCUCCAGGGAGGACCAGCAGGUAACAAACUCUUUCCAGGAUGGAAGAUGGGCUGUGGCGACAGAAAACAGAGCCACCUAUCUGUGAUGAAUGCAAAUGCAAAGGGAGAACCAAUGGCCAUUUGUUUUUGUAAUAAUAAUCACCUCAUCAUAAUGGAAGACGGUCUUAUACAGAUUGGUGUACAAGGCUUCUAUGAUAAGGCUAAUAUAAUGUAUGACAUAUCAUAAGCGUUGCUAGAACAAGUUCAUGUGCACAGAGAAGCAAGUAAUAUAUCUGUCUGAAAAACAGUCGUAAGAUACAUGCAGCCAAAGUUGUCAUAAUGAUACAGGUAAGAUUGCGUAUCGUUAUCCAUAAAAUCUGUGAAAAAAUAAAAUAAACAUUACUUU